rnacentral:lncRNA from 1 species
GCUUGCCGACAGGUAAACCGCCGCUGUACUUAGAUGCAAAAGCUGCCUCCCUUAUCUGGAACAGAAUAAAUUCCUUUCGAAGGCAAAAUAAAAAACAGAAAGAGAAGUCA